UACGUAGGGGGCAAGCGUUGUCCGGAUUUAUUGGGCGUAAAGAGCGUGUAGGCGGCCAUACAGGUCCGUUGUGAAAACUGGAGGCUUAACCUCCAGACGUCGAUGGAAACCGUAUGGCUAGAGUCCGGAAGAGGAGAGUGGAAUUCCUGGUGUAGCGGUGAAAUGCGCGGAUAUCAGGAAGAACACCCGUGGCGAAGGCGGCUCUCUGGGACGGUACUGACGCUGAGACGCGAAAGCGUGGGGAGCGAACAGG
rnacentral:rRNA from 1 species